rnacentral:rRNA from 1 species
GAGUUUGAUCCUGGCUCAGGAUGAACGCUAGCGGCAGGCCUAACACAUGCAAGUCGAGGGGGAACAGAGGGAGUGCACACUGCUGACGACCGGCGCACGGGUGCGUAACGCGUAUACAAUCUACCUUUUGCUGAGGGAUAGCCCAGAGAAAUUUGGAUUAAUACCUCAUAGUAUGUAGACUUCGCAUCAUUUAAUAAUUAAACAUUUAUUGGUAAAAGAUGGCUAUGCGUCCUAUUAGCUAGAUGGUGUGGUAACGGCACACCAUGGCAACGAUAGGUAGGGGCCCUGAGAGGGGGAUCCCCCACACUGGUACUGAGACACGGACCAGACUCCUACGGGCGGCAGCAGUGAGGAAUAUUGGACAAUGGAGGCAACUCUGAUCCAGCCAUACCGCGUGCAGGAAGACUGCCCUAUGGGUUGUAAACUGCUUUUAUACAGGAAGAAACACUCCCUCGUGAGGGAGCUUGACGGUACUGUAAGAAUAAGGAUCGGCUAACUCCGUGCCAGCAGCCGCGGUAAUACGGAGGAUCCAAGCGUUAUCCGGAAUCAUUGGGUUUGAAGGGUCCGUAGGUGGAUAAUUAAGUCAGGGGUGAAAGUCUGCAGCUCAACUGUAGAAUUGCCUUUGAUACUGGUUAUCUUGAGUUAUUAUGAAGUAGUUAGAAUAUGUAGUGUAGCGGUGAAAUGCAUAGAUAUUACAUAGAAUACCAAUUGCGAAGGCAGAUUACUAAUAAUGUACUGACACUGAUGGACGAAAGCGUGGGGAGCGAACAGGAUUAGAUACCCUGGUAGUCCACGCCGUAAACGAUGGAUACUAGCUGUUCGGAUUUAUCUGAGUGGCUAAGCGAAAGUGAUAAGUAUCCCACCUGGGGAGUACGUUCGCAAGAAUGAAACUCAAAGGAAUUGACGGGGGCCCGCACAAGCGGUGGAGCAUGUGGUUUAAUUCGAUGAUACGCGAGGAACCUUACCAGGGCUUAAAUGUAGUCUGACAGGGGUAGAGAUACCUUUUCCUUCGGGCAAUUUGCAAGGUGCUGCAUGGUUGUCGUCAGCUCGUGGCGUGAGGUGUCAGGUUAAGUCCUAUAACGAGCGCAACCCCUGCCGUUAUUUGCCAGCAUGUAAAGAUGGGAACUCUAACGGGACUGCCGGUGCAAACCGCGAGGAAGGUGGGGAUGACGUCAAAUCAUCACGGCCCUUACGUCCUGGGCUACACACGUGCUACAAUGGCCGGUACAAUGAGCAGCCACGUCGCAAGGCGGAGCGAAUCUAUAAAACCGGUCACAGUUCGGAUCGGGGUCUGCAACCCGACCCCGUGAAGCUGGAAUCGCUAGUAAUCGGAUAUCAGCCAUGAUCCGGUGAAUACGUUCCCGGGCCUUGUACACACCGCCCGUCAAGCCAUGGAAGCCGGGAGUGCCUGAAGUCCGUCACCGCAAGGAGCGGCCUAGGGUAAAACUGGUAACUGGGGCUAAGUCGUAACAAGGUAGCCGU